CCUACGGGAGGCAGCAGUGGGGAAUUUUGGACAAUGGGCGAAAGCCUGAUCCAGCAAUGCCGCGUGAGUGAAGAAGGCCUUCGGGUUGUAAAGCUCUUUUGUCAGGGAAGAAACGGUGGGAGCUAAUAUCUCUUGCUAAUGACGGUACCUGAAGAAUAAGCACCGGCUAACUACGUGCCAGCAGCCGCGGUAAUACGUAGGGUGCAAGCGUUAAUCGGAAUUACUGGGCGUAAAGCGUGCGCAGGCGGUUUUGUAAGUCUGAUGUGAAAUCCCCGGGCUCAACCUGGGAAUUGCAUUGGAGACUGCAAGGCUAGAAUCUGGCAGAGGGGGGUAGAAUUCCACGUGUAGCAGUGAAAUGCGUAGAUAUGUGGAGGAACACCGAUGGCGAAGGCAGCCCCCUGGGUCAAGAUUGACGCUCAUGCACGAAAGCGUGGGGAGCAAACAGGAUUAGAUACCCUGGUAGUCCACGCCCUAAACGAUGUCUACUAGUUGUCGGGUCUUAAUUGACUUGGUAACGCAGCUAACGCGUGAAGUAGACCGCCUGGGGAGUACGGUCGCAAGAUUAAAACUUAAAGGAAUUGACCGGNNGAGAGAGACGACGACGACGACGAGGGAGGAGG
rnacentral:rRNA from 1 species